AUUGAACGCUGGCGGCAGGCCUAACACAUGCAAGUCGAACGAGUGGCGGACGGGUGAGUAAUGUCUGGGACACUGCCUGAUGGAGGGGGAUAACUACUGGAAACGGUAGCUAAUACCGCAUACCAUCAGAUGUGCCCAGAUGGGCUUCGCUUGUUGGUGGGGUAACGGCUCACCAAGGCGACGAUCCCUAGCUGGUCUGAGAGGAUGACCAGCCACACUGGAACGGAGACACGGUCCAGACUCCUACGGGAGGCAGCAAUGGGGAAUAUUGCACAAUGGGCGCAAGCCUGAUGCAGCCAGGACGCGUGUAUGAAGAAGGCCUUCGGGUUGUAAAGUACUUUCAGCGGGGAGGCGUUACCCACAGAAGAAGCACCGGCUAACUCCGUGCCAGCAGCCGCGGUAAUUC
rnacentral:rRNA from 1 species